AAGUCGGUGAGCUAACUCCGCAAGGGGAGGCAACUGCCCAAGGUAUGAUUGGUGAUUGGGUG
rnacentral:rRNA from 1 species